GUCAGGGAACCUUGUCGCUAAAAGAUUAACAGCCGACUAUAUCCAAAAAAGGACGAAGCAGGAUUCUGUGCCCUACAUGUCGAUACGUCAGACGCGGUAUUAAUAAUAUCGUUGCUCAUGUAUGCCUCUGAGUUGUAUCCGUCUUUGAAUAACGCAAAGGUCGUCUCAUUCCGCUCGGCGGAAACGAAAACCAACAAAUCCUCAGAACUCAUAGUCAGUUCUAUUCGAGCGAACGAUGCGUCUCCCGUGAGUAUCGGAGCCGGUCGAACUGGACAAAUGAAGACCCUGGCAUCGUUGUUGACUUCAGCGUUACCCCAGCUUGCUGAGGAUAUUUGUGGACGAACAGGUGGCGAGCAGUGUAAUUCGAUUAUAGGAAGAUUUUCGUCUGCCUUCUACUCGCUGCUUUCUCAGUUUGACCUGAGCCUUAAGACGGUCGAUAUUAACUGUAAUGAUAAUAAAUAUCUAUCUUCAACUGGGAAAAUCAUUCUAUACAGGAUGUUGCCCUCAUAUGUAAGAAGAAAAAUAAUGAAGAGCCGAGAUUAAUAUAUAUAUAUAAUAAACAUGUUACCAUUUUUUCGGUCCACAAAAGAUUAUUGAACAAGAACUGUAACUAAAAUUAAAAGCUUCUUUACAUUUUCGAGCCUUAGAAAGCACAGUAUUCACACAACGUGAUGUUAGUAGUUUGAGAAAUUCAGAGGGAAGCUUCCAUAUGUAACAGACAGAGAAUUCUACACACCAACUACAUAAAUCAGCAAAUAGAAUACAUAGAGGGUUAUGCUAAGAAAACAUUUGUCCCCCAUAAUUGGUGCAUUGUCACUAUAAAAAGGUAUAGCAUGCGCUAUAACGCCCACACAAAUGCGCAAGGUCACAUAGACAGUUAGAAAUAAGGCGUUUAUUCUAACAGGCGGAUAAAGUAACUGUUAGUUGAAGCACUCAAAACGCAACCUUUGUGCUGAAUGGAAAAACAAAGGGACCGCAAUUCAACCGUUCAAAAAUUUCCGCCACUUUCUUGUCGCUUAGCUUCCAGCAGCAGAGCAGAACAGCAUGAUAUCAAAUGAGCCGAAGGUAUACACAAGGAUUUUGUUAUAAUACGAGGUGUCCCAUCGCAUUUAGCCCUCAAAAGGCGUUUUACAGCUCCAGUCGUACACUAACAUGUCUACGAAAUCAGAGUCUGAAUUUACAAUCUAGGCAAAACGUAGGGGCGCAUACCGGCAAAAAGCAA
rnacentral:lncRNA from 1 species